GAUGAACGCUGGCGGCGUGCCUAAUACAUGCAAGUCGAGCGAACGGACGAGACGCUUGCUUCUCUGAUGUUAGCGGCGGACGUGUGAGUAACACGUGGAUAACCUACCUAUAAGACUGGGAUAACUUCGGGAAACCGGCGCUAAUCCCGGAUAAUCUUUUGAACCGCAUGGUUCAAAAGUAAAAGACGGUCUUUCUGUCACUUCUAGCUGGAUCCGCGCUGCAUUAGCUAGUUGGUAAGGUAACGGCUUACCAAGGCAACGAUGCAUAGCCGACCUGAGAGGGGGAUCGGCCACACUGGAACUGAGACACGGUCCAGACGCCUACGGGAGGCAGCAGUAGGGAAUCUUCCGCAAUGGGCGAAAGCCUGACGGAGCAACGCCGCGUGAGUGAUGAAGGUCUUCGGAUCGUAAAACUCUGUUAUUAGGGAAGAACAGAUGUGGAAGUAACUGUGCACAUCUUGACGGUACCUAAUCAGAAAGCCACGGCUAACUACGUG
rnacentral:rRNA from 1 species